GCUACGCAUGCGCAACAAGGGGAAGGCUGAGCAUGCGCAGAAGGUAGAGCGGAGCAGGACGAGCUGUAGUCCCAAUUUAUGCGUUUUAAGUUAUUUCCUCAGUGUUUUGUUGUACGCAUUAUAAAAAUAUACAAGUCGUGACAUACCUAAGGAUGUGCCUAAAGAGAUAUCGGGAAGGUCUGGAAUCACCAACCCCCCCAGAGAUACCAUCCUGACCAAAAAUUAUUGAGGAUAUUUCCAACAGGUAAGAGAAAGCCUAAUGGUGAACCUGCUUGAAGGAGGUGCUUUAGGGAUGGCGAUAGAAGCAGGUUGUGCGCUGUGGAGGAGAUCCUUGUGUCUCUAUCGGCAGCACCUUGAGGAUGGCCUUGUUUUGGUCGGGUCUAGUGGCUGAGAUGAGGUAAAUCCCUGAGGUGAGGUAAAUCCCCUAUAGACCUGAGGUGUUGUUUCAUAUCCUUAUGUGGUGGAGGCCAAAACAACACAAACAGUGCUUGAAGUGAGGCUGCAGCCCAAUCCCAUGCCUCACCAAUAAAGAAUUUCCUGUAAGAUCUGACCAAAAUCUCCCUUUUUUUUACUUAAAAUCCAUUCCUCUUUUGCCCUAGACAAAAAGUUCAAUUCAGCCUUAAGCCUUCUGUAAUUCCAUUAUCCCGGAUGCUGCAGCAAAAAGUGCUGUGGGAGCUUAUGGAGUCUCAUUUUUGUUAUGUAAAUAACCCUUGAAGAACCAUAGCAUUUCUCCAGCCCUGUGUUUUUCUUUUAUUUCUUAUUUUUUAAUUUAUUUAUCUUUUUUUCAAGAAGUUCACAACAAGACUGCAUUGCUUCCCAUUGGCACCAGCCCAGGAUGUGGGUUCCCCUACCUCCAUUCUGCUUCCCUUACACUUACUGCACCGUUUAUGGACCCUCUUCACCUGCCAGCAUUCCAUGCACACCUUUUUUUUCUCCUCUCAAAUUCAAGCUCAUAUUUCAGGGACCUUUUCAAGAUAAGGCCUGGUAGAUGCCAUACAGACCAGGGGUUGUGGAUGGUCACAUUUGUCUUCUUGGUGAUCUCAGUUCCCAUGCUGAGGUAUUGGAGUGUGCUGAGGAGGAUCUGCUUGAGAUCACUGCGCUUCUCUAUGAGCAUUAUGCAGGAUGGAGCCCUGGAAAUGGCUGAAAAUCUGCCUGCUGGUGAGAAGGAAUGUACUAAUCCCAUAUUGUGCUUUGCUUGCAUGUGCAUCUUUGGCUUUACCUGCUAACCUCUAUCUCAACUAAUAAAUUUUCUUGCCCAUUC